AUAUAGGUCUUUUUAGAGACCACAAUAUGGUCUACAUACGGAGUAA
rfam:Triticum urartu cultivar G1812 contig204168, whole genome shotgun sequence.